UUCAGAGACACCGAACCUCACUUCGUUCCGUCCCAAAAUAUCCAGGCUAUAUGCUUGAGCAUUUUGGAGAGCCUCAAUACAGUCAUAGAAAAGCAUUCGCACACUUCAGAAUCCAAGCAUAAACCUUUGUCGAAAGCAAGUGUUCGUAGCUGAAAAAUCAGUCCGCCUUCGAGACAUGGCAGCCAUUUCCAAUGAAUAAUAAGAUUCAAGAUUAGCAGGUUGCUAGCCCACAAAUUUCUCAAUUAUACAGCUAUGGUGCAACGCUUACAUACAAUUCAUGCGGAAAUAAUUGUGGUAAACGUUUCUGUUUCUAACAAAAUCAUAGUAGGUCAAAAUUAUCUUUUCUGUGGUAAUCUCUCGAACUCUAAAGGAGCAAAAAGUGACAAUAUUACUUCAAAGUGUCAACAAUCUGUAAAGUGGAUAAUUUGUAUAGUAUGUGUACUUAUCAAAUACUGUGUGAAAUUAUGUGUUUUCCUAAUGUUUACUAUGCAAACGAGUUAUAAUAGACAUAUGUAUGAUACAAUUGACAUACACUUCCCGGUCUCCCAAUUGUUGUUCGUUUUAGUUGUUAGUUUUUAACUUUUUUUGAGUUUUAUCUGCCACAAUCUAGUUUUUGUCUAUGCAUGGCUCAUAUUAUAUUUAUAAUUUUAGUAAAACUGCGAAGCGAAAAUGUAAAUUGCAGAUUGAAUCAUUAGCGAUUUAAAUGAACUUAAACUGUUUUCGGAAUAAACACAUAACAACUCCUAAUUGAGAUUAUCGUUCGACAUUGACGUUGAUUACUGUAAACGUACGUCGUGGAUUACCGCAUGUAGCUAAAUGAAGGAAAGAUACAAUUUCAUCAAUGACUACAAUCACAGCACAAAUCAAAAUGUUUGAUUCGUGACAAAAAUAACCAAUUCAAAUUGGAUUCAACAGUAUCUCACGUAAUAAGCAAACAUGGACCUUCCUACAUAUGUAUAUAUGCGCAUAGUGAGACAAUGCUACAGCGCAUGUUAAGAAGUAAAUCAUAAUUUUCAAUUCAGUCAAUUUAAGACUAUCUGGCUCGGAGAUUUUUCGAAUAUAUCAAGGUAAAGGGACUGCUGGAAGGGGGUCAGAAAACGAACUAUCCAAAUGAAAUAUGCAUGUUCACAAGUUCAAAAACCUGAACUUGAACAUCCAUGGGGCGCGUUACAUAAAUUACUUCCAGCUUUAUGAAUAACGUGUCAGACAAUAAAUUGAAUACCACGCGUAUCUGAAUUGCAAGAGAAAAUCUGUUUCCUUUUUUUAAUCGGACUUUAGAGUGAAUUUCAAACGAAUUGGACAUACGUGACUGG